rnacentral:ncRNA from 1 species
UGAAAUGCGUCGAUGAAAGCUAGUAGCUGUUGGCCCUCGUCAGAGAAGGACUGGAAGCUGGAAAGGUCCGCUUGGAAAAACAGUGAAUUUCACUUUCGAAGUUAGUAGACUGUAAGGUCUACUCGGUACUGGCCGUUAUGCAGGAAAGUGCCAAUUCUAACAUAGAAUUGGAACAAGGGUGGUACCGCGAAGCCUCGUCCCUUUU